rnacentral:snRNA from 1 species
GGAUGUGAGAGCAAUCUGGCUGCGACAGCUGUCACCCUGCUGACUGCCAGGGUUGGUUUGGCUGAUCUGGCUGGCUAGGCGGGUGUCUCCAUCCUCCCUCACCGCUCCAUGUGUGUCCCUCCUGAAGCUGUGCACUCAGUCAAAGAGGACAACCGCCCCCCACUUCCUCAGUCAGGGAUAUGAGCAGCUGCUCUCCCUUGCUAGAACUUCCAAACAAGCUCUCAAGAAUAUAUGAGAAGUCUAUGUAGGUAAAAAUGGCUAAAUGUCCAGCACAAAAAGCUCCGAAGUCAGAAUAGAGCU